GACGAACGCUGGCGGCGUGCCUAACACAUGCAAGUCGAACGGAGAUAUGCGAACGAGGCCUUCGGGCGGAGAUUGCAUAUUUUUAGUGGCGGACGGGCGAGUAACGCGUGAGCAACCUGCCCUUCAGAGGGGGGAUAACGGCUGGAAACGGCCGCUAAUACCGCAUGACAUAUACACAAGGCAUCUUGAGUAUAUCAAAGGAGGAAUCCGCUGAAGGAUGGGCUCGCGUCCGAUUAGCUGGUUGGUGAGGUAACGGCUCACCAAGGCGACGAUCGGUAGCCGAACUGAGAGGUUGAUCGGCCGCAUUGGGACUGAGACACGGCCCAGACUCCUACGGGAGGCAGCAGUGGGGGAUAUUGCACAAUGGAGGAAACUCUGAUGCAGCGACGCCGCGUGGGGGAAGAAGGUCUUCGGAUUGUAAACCUCAGUAGUCAGGGAAAAGCAAGUGACGGUACCUGAAGAGUAAGCUCCGGCUAACUACGUGCC
rnacentral:rRNA from 1 species